UACGGGGGGAGCAAGCGUUGUUCGGAUUUACUGGGCGUAAAGGGCGCGUAGGCGGUCAGCACAAGUCAGUUGUGAAAUCUCCGGGCUUAACUCGGAAAGGUCAACUGAUACUGUGCGACUAGAGUGCAGAAGGGGCAACUGGAAUUCUCGGUGUAGCGGUGAAAUGCGUAGAUAUCGAGAGGAACACCUGCGGCGAAGGCGGGUUGCUGGGCUGACACUGACGCUGAGGCGCGAAAGCAUGGGGAGCGAACGGG
rnacentral:rRNA from 1 species